GGUUUUAUAUUUUAUAUAAAAUAUUAAAUUGCAAAUUUAAAGAAACAUAAAUUUUGUUAAAACUU
rnacentral:tRNA from 1 species